UACGUAGGGUGCGAGCGUUAAUCGGAAUUACUGGGCGUAAAGUGUGCGCAGGCGGCCGCGCAAGUCGAGUGUGAAAGCCCCGGGCUUAACUUGGGAAUUGCGCUCGAAACUACGUGGCUGGAGUGUGGCAGAGGAAGGUGGAAUUCCAGGUGUAGCGGUGAAAUGCGUAGAGAUCUGGAGGAACACCGAUGGCGAAGGCAGCCUUCUGGGCCAACACUGACGCUCAUGCACGAAAGCGUGGGGAGCAAACAGG
rnacentral:rRNA from 1 species